UACGGAGGGGGCAAGCGUUAUUCGGAAUCAUUGGGCGUAAAGGGCGCGUAGGCGGCUUGGCAAGUCAGAGGCGAAAUCCCUCGGCCUAACCGAGGAACUGCCUUUGAUACUGCUUGGCUUGAGGCCGGGAGAGGGUAGCGGAAUUCCCAGUGUAGCGGUGAAAUGCGUAGAUAUUGGGAGGAACACCAGUGGCGAAGGCGGCUACCUGGACCGGUUCUGACGCUGAGGCGCGAAAGCGUGGGGAGCAAACGGG
rnacentral:rRNA from 1 species